GACCAGAGUACGGGCGGGCUUUACAGCGUCAACAGCGUCCUGGUUGAGUAGCGGCACUGGUGGGAAAGGGUCUGCAACACCGCGCAGAUGGAUGGGGUAGAUAGCGUCCAUGGCCCGAACGGCUGUCAAAG
rnacentral:sRNA from 12 species